rnacentral:misc_RNA from 1 species
GUACUCUCACACUUCCGAUCUUUGGAUUGGGAGCGGUGGACUUGGGUGUUGCUGCUUUACUGUGGCUCGCCUCAAAUGGAGUAGUGCAACUCUUGGUUGGACAUAGUACGGCGUGAUAAGUGUCUUCGCCGGCACCUCACUAGAGGGUGGCUGAUCAGGAGCUCUGUGCUUCAAACCGUCUUCGGACAACAUCUGACA